rnacentral:rRNA from 1 species
AGUGGGAGAGGUAGACGGUACUCGAUAGGAAGGGGUAAAAUCCUUUGAUCUAUUGAUGACCACCUGUGGCGAAGGCGGUCUACCAGAACACGUUCGACGGUGAGGGAUGAAAGCUGGGGGAGCAAACCGGAUUAGAUACCCGGGUAGUCCCAGCUGUAAACGAUGCAGACUCGAUGAUGCAUUGGCAUAUAGCCAGUGCAGUGUCGCAGGGAAGCCGUUAAGUCUGCCGCCUGGGAAGUACGUACGCAAGUAUGAAACUUAAAGGAAUUGGCGGGGGAGCACCACAAGGGGUGAAGCCUGCGGUUCAAUUGGAGUCAACGCCAGAAAUCUUACCCGGAGAGACAGCAGAAUGAAGGUCAGGCUGAAGACCUUACCAGACAAGCUGAGAGGUGGUGCAUGGCCGUCGUCAGCUCGUGCCGUGAGAUGUCCUGUUAAGUCAGGUAACGAGCGAGAUCCUCGCCACUAGUUGCUAUCAUUAUUCUCAGGAAUAGUGGGGCGAAUUAGUGGGACUGCCGUUGUUAAAACGGAGGAAGGAGGGGGCUACGGCAGG